GCAGUCGAGCGGACCGAAGGGAGCUUGCUCCUUUAGGUUAGCGGCGGACGGGUGAGUAACACGUGGGCAACCUGCCCUGCAGACUGGGAUAACUUCGGGAAACCGGAGCUAAUACCGGAUAACACCGAAAACCGCAUGGUUUUCGGUUGAAAGGCGGCUUUUAGCUGUCACUGCAGGAUGGGCCCGCGGCGCAUUAGCUAGUUGGUGAGGUAACGGCUCACCAAGGCGACGAUGCGUAGCCGACCUGAGAGGGUGACCGGCCACACUGGGACUGAGACACGGCCCAGACUCCUACGGGAGGCAGCAGUGGGGAAUAUUGCACAAUGGGCGAAAGCCUGAUGCAGCAACGCCGCGUGCGGGAUGAAGGCCCUAGGGUUGUAAACCGCUUUCAGCAGGGAAGAAAAUGACGGUACCUGUAGAAGAAGGUGCGGCCAACUACGUGCCAGCAGCCGCGGUAAU
rnacentral:rRNA from 1 species